UUACGGCUCAGUAACACGUAAGUAAUCUACCCUGAAACAGGGGAUAAUCUCGGGAAACUGAGGCUAAUACCCUAUAGGGAACGGGUACUGGAACGUCCCGUUCCUGAAAGCCCUCGGGCGCUUCAGGAUGAGCUUGCGGCGGAUUAGGCUGUUGGUGAGGUAAUGGCUCACCAAACCGAAGAUCCGUACGGGCUGUGAGAGCAUUAGCCCGGAGAAUGGUACUGAGACAAGGACCAUAGCCCUACGGGGUGCAGCAGGCGCGGAACCUUUACAAUACACGAAAGUGUGAUAAGGGGACUCCAAGUGGCUCCUUACGGAGCCUUUUGCGGAGCUUAAAAAACUCCGAGAAUAAGGGCUGGGUAAGACUCGUGCCAGCCGCCGCGGUAAUACGGGCAGCUCGAGUGGCGUUCGCGUAUAUUGGGCUUAAAGCGUUCGUAGCCGGCCCUGAAAGUCCUUGGUGAAAGCUUGCGAUUUAAUCGUGAGAAGGGCCAAGGAUACUCCAGGGCUUGGGGCCGGGAGAGGUUGGGGGUAUUCCAGGGGUAGGAGUAAAAUCCUAUAAUCCUUGGAGGACCAUCAGUGGCGAAGGCGUCCAACCAGAACGGGCCCGACGGUGAGGGACGAAAGCUAGGGGAGCGACCCGGAUUAGAUACCCGGUUAGUCCUAGCCGUAAAUUAUGCCGGCUUGGUGUUGCACAACCUACGAGGUUGUGCAGCGCCGGAGGGAAACUGUUAAGCCAGCCGUCUGGGAAGUAUGGCCGCAAGGCUAAAACUUAAAGGAAUUGGCGGGGGAGCCCAAUC
rnacentral:rRNA from 1 species